AGUUGUGUACUUCAGAAAGGGAGGAGUCCCUUCGAAAAACAAAAAACAAAAAACAAACAAAACCGCCCAAAAGUCUCUGGGAGUCAUCUGGAGCGAAGGUAAAAAUGAAUAGGUGAUUUAUUUAUCAGCUUUUCCCGAAAAUGAUGAAAAUGGGGAAUUAGAGAUCGCAAUCUAGAACAAACACACCCAUUUAGGACACCAAUCUCCGUAAUGACUACAUUGUUUUUGUCGGAGCUGUGAGUUGGAAGUAUUUCAUAAUCCUGCAAACUAAUUGCGUCGGUUUUGCACAUUAAUCUUCUGACCCACAUGGAUUAGGCCCCACGGUGAAAAAGUGGCUGUGAAACAGGUAAAAGUCUGAGCACAUGACCAUGUGACUUUGUAAUUCCUCUGGACAAACGCUAGAAGUGACUAUUAUUAGUAGUGAUUGAAUUAGUUUACAAUGAAACUAUCCGGGUGGGUGGUCUGCUGUUCAGACGUGGAAGUGUCAUCCAUUUAUGUUUCAAGGAGGCCCUCUUGUGGGAACAAAAAGCAAUUGCAACCAUCUGUUCCAUCAGACACUGAAGCAUCGCCGCACGUGGCCUUCCUUCAGCGGGAGGUGCUCUUUCCUGCCUUUUACUUUCUGCUCUUCCUUGGCCAAAUUUGACAGACACAGCUACAGAUGCCUCACGUGCCUCAAACAGUUGAGCAGCAGAUGGAGCGCAGACAGCAAGGUGAAAUAUCUGAAGUAAGUAAAACUACACUUGGUGGGUAUGAUUUUUUUUAAGGAAAACAAAAUGAGAGUUUGCUGAAGAUAUCUGAUUUUCUUUCAUUCAUCAAACCCCAACACUGACAUUCAACUUGGAUACUAUUUUAGCGUUAAAAAACUUUAAAAAAAAAAAAUUAUAGCUAAAAUGUACUACAAAAAUAAGGCUUCACACAUGCUUUGCAUCACUGUCAUUAGAGGAGCAACACUAAAGAACACCUGGGAAACUAAUGUGUUCGGAAAAUCACAGGAUUUGACAACCCGAGAAUGUGGAAGUCCUGGAAAAAAGCUCCAAGAACUGUAGGAACCUAAUAACAGCUUCUGUAAAAUAUUCCAUCAAAAUGUUUGUUUUUUGAAAGUGUUAAGUCUGAUUUUACUUUUAGUCUUUUGAUGAUGUUAUGAUGUCAAGCACAGCAACUGGGGACCAAAGGUGUUGUGCAUUCGACUGCUACCCAGUCCACACUGCACCAGACCCCUGCAGCCCAUCCUGCAGGUGGGUCCAGAGACGUGGGCUCUCUCUUAGAGACAGGGUCAUUUGAGACUGACUGCUUCUCCAAAACAAAACCAACCAAUUGAGGUGGUCUGGAUAUGUAACUAGAAUGGACACCUCCUAGGUGAGGUGUUUUGGGUAUGCCCAACUUAAGGAGACCUUAGAGCAGACCUAGGACACAGUGAAGACAUUACUUCUACUGAUGCUUAGACUGCUGCCCUCUGACCCAGGCCUGGAUGAAUGGAUGUUAAGAACGUUUAAAAGGUUCAUUGUAAGUAUUAUAAUACAAAUAAGGCACUUUGUGAGUGGAGUUGAUGGAACUGAGUCAUGCAAACUCCCUGACUCACACAUAUGUCCCAAAACCACAUUAUGCUCUUUACAGUUGAGAAAGACUAAAGUGAAAUUUCCAUUUUCUGUAUUUUGUAAAUGAUCUUUCUGUUUGUUUUUUUCAGGUAUGCAACUUCAUUAUAGUUACUAAAAAAAAUAAAUUAACUGAAUAAAAAUGAAAACUAGGUAGUCACAAUGAAUGUUUUUAAUAUCUGUUUAAUUUUUAGUUUAGUCUUAAUUAACUAUAAUGAAGUUUACUAGCAAUCAGAAAUGAAGCACAACUAAUGAUCAUUUGUUUUCAUAGUAGUACUCUGUUAAAUGUUCCACACUUAACAACUUUUUGCAUGCAGCCUCAUCCUAAUACUGCUUUCAGACUGGAAAUGGUAAAAGCAAUCAUGGCAAACCACCAAGACAACCGAGUCUUUCUGAGUGGAGUCCAGUUAUAUAUGUUUGCACUGUGUUAGUGAAUGAGCAGAAUGCAAUACAACAUCUUAAUGUUGCUGUAGACCUUUCUUGCUGCUUUGGCGCACAUAUCCAAAUGCUUUUCAGUUAAAAACAGGGAAGGUUUAAAGUGUUGUCCAUGCUGGUUUUGCACCAUUUUUUCAAAAGCAAUUUAGUUAAUUGUGACUUACAAUCUAUUUGUUUCUUAUAUAUCUUUUAAAGCAUUAUUCUAUAGUGGAUCUUGUUUGUGAAUGUAGACACAUGAAUGAUAAUAGAUUGGGGGGAACUAAAUCAUAUUCAGCUUUGGUGCCUCACUCAGCCGGAGGCGACCCUGAUCUGUAAACCCCCAGUAUGUCUGCCAGAGGGCGUGUUACAUCACCUGAAAGCCUACAAAAAUGGACGUGGAACUCAAGACCAGUUUGGUAACAUGUUAUUAACCUAACUAGGCUGCCUGAGAAGGAUCUAGAUCAAAGAACAGGACUCGGACAAACGGUGAAGGUUCAACUACAUCUACGUGAUCUAAAACUCAGAUGCACACACAGAUGGUUUUUGGGGGUCCAGGGUGGAAACAGGGGGAACUCAGGGAGACUACUGAAGCUCUGAAUGCUGAAUGCUGUGUGUGUACACCGUAUGUGUGUGUUGUUGGAGGGAGGUGUGUAGGGGGGUUAAACACAGCUAUAUUCUGUAGAUAACAGGAUUAGCUGGGAAGCGGAUAAUAAGUUAGCAUUUCCUCCCUGCGGCACUCUCUCCUCUCUCCUCUCUCUAAUCCUGCAGCUUUGAUGUCCCUGCUCCCAUCAGGUAUCUGGGCUGCUCUGGCCCCAGGGCCCCGGGGGCCUCCAAAUGCUCAGACACUGUGUGUUGUAUUUGUGCGUGUUUGUGUGUGUGUGUGCAUGUGGGUGUGGAUGUCUGCCUGUCUAUGUGUGUGUGUAUUCAGUGUCCUCAUUAGUUCUGCCUGUUUACUAAAGUUGGCUUCUUGGGAUGAAAUCUGCUGCACGGCCGCUCUGCCAGAGAUCUGCUCACUAUUUACAGCUCGCUCUCCCUGCCAGGAUCUGACCCGACAGAAAGCUGAUGAGGCAUUUUGUUCUGGGCAUGCAACAUCUAAACAACAACAAUAAGCCAACAAACAAUAAUUUCAACACCAAAGCAAGGCAGAAAUUUAGAGCUUUACAGGAAAAUAAUAAGAUGGGAUUUUCCUUUUUUUUUUUUCAAGAUUUCAGGCUCCAGUUACAUUAUUCCAUGAUGUGCGGCUGGGAAUCAUUGAACUGCGAUCACUUUUCAAAUCACGUUGUUUAUCGUUGUUUGAACUAAACUGACUUGUUUUUUCCAUAUUUAUGGACAUGAAUCUCUGACACGAGUCAGAAAAAUGACUUCACUGAAAGAUUGUGAAUGUUGUUCACAUUGUUGUGACAAGCACCCCACUGUCAUGUGUGGAAAAGACAAAAGUAGUGUGACUUGAUACCAAUGAUUGUUUAUAAAAUAUGGAAAAAGCCACCCAUUGGUUUGUAAUGUUUAUUACAUUGUGGCUCAAGAGUUGGGCGUUCGCCUUGUAAUUGGAAGGUUGACAGUUCGAGCCCCGGCUCAGACA